AUUGAACGCUGGCGGCAUGCCUUACACAUGCAAGUCGAACGGCAGCACGGGAGCAAUCCUGGUGGCGAGUGGCGAACGGGUGAGUAAUAUAUCGGAACGUGCCCGGUCGUGGGGAUAACGUAGCGAAAGCUACGCUAAUACCGCAUACGAUCUACGGAUGAAAGCGGGGGAUCGCAAGACCUCGCGCGAUUGGAGCGGCCGAUAUCAGAUUAGGUAGUUGGUGAGGUAAAGGCUCACCAAGCCGACGAUCUGUAGCUGGUCUGAGAGGACGACCAGCCACACUGGGACUGAGACACGGCCCAGACUCCUACGGGAGGCAGCAGUGGGGAAUUUUGGACAAUGGGCGCAAGCCUGAUCCAGCAAUGCCGCGUGCAGGAUGAAGGCCUUGGUU
rnacentral:rRNA from 1 species